GCGGGAUUAGUUUAGUGGUAGAAUGAGUCCUUCCCAAGGAUUAGGCGGGGUUUCGAUUACCCCAUCCCGCACCA
rnacentral:tRNA from 2 species